GCCCUACGGGACGCAGCAGUGGGGAAUAUUGGGCAAUGGGCGCAAGCCUGACCCAGCAACGCCGCGUGAAGGAAGAAGGCUUUCGGGUUGUAAACUUCUUUUCUCAGGGACGAAGCAAGUGACGGUACCUGAGGAAUAAGCCACGGCUAACUACGUGCCAGCAGCCGCGGUAAUACGUAGGUGGCAAGCGUUAUCCGGAUUUACUGGGUGUAAAGGGCGUGUAGGCGGUACUGCAAGUCAGAUGUUAAAAUUAUGGGC
rnacentral:rRNA from 1 species